UGACAACUUCCGCCCCCCCAGAUUCGAAUGGCGGUACGGGAGACGCGAGGACUUGACUGAAGGAGGCAAUCAUUGAUCAUAACAGGAGGAUGGAGAACCAUCCUGAUGGACCUCGGGGUCAGAUCCUUUCCUGGAUAUUUCAAACGAAGAAAUAAAGGUCCACCUACUAGAGGCUACAAACAAGCAAGAACUUUGAAGAAGUGGAAUCCACUUGAUAUUUCUUUUUUUUUACUUUCCUCCAAAACGGAGACAACUCCAUCCCCCUCUGAGGAGCUGCAGCUCAUUCAAGCAGGGCUUGGAAAGCGUACACUGUCUUUUACAUCGGAUGUAACUCACGCAGAGUUAUCCAGGUUACUUGAGGCAGCGUAUCCAAACAGUGCAAGGCAGUGAUGCCUCUCCAGAUGUUGGCACUGCACAUUGAUCAGUGCUCCAGCAAAUCGGACCUGGAAGAUGAGGAGUCAGAAGUGGUGCUCUUGGAUGAGGCAACAUCUUCGAGCCCAACCCCAGGGCCUAACUCAGAUGUGCCACAGUCCUCCUCGAAACAGUGCUUUCAGCAGCUCGAAGAUGCAUCUGACCUGUUCCCCCAUGUAGAAGAAAUUCUGGAAUGUGGCUACACUGGUCCAAUCAGCAUUGACCAUAAGGACCGGAUAAUAAGGGCUGUCGUUCUGCAUAUGACAACAAAACAUAUACCAAUGCUGCAACAGAUCCGUGAGGGCCUUAAGGUGUACAAUCUGAUCGAGGUCAUGCAGCAAAAGCCGAACGAAUGUCAUGAUCUUUUUGUGACAGGAUGCGAUGACAAGGUGGAUUCGCAUUAUAUCCUUUCACACCUGGCCCCUGACAUGAGUCCACAUGGUUCAGGAAAACACAAGGAGGAGUCCAAAAUUCUGGAAUACUUCCAAGAUUUCCUUCUUGAACUUGAGGAUGCACAACCAGAAGAUGAGGAUGAAGAAACUCCGUCUGUUCCUGCAGUGAUGCAAUGGAUGACUGGCCAGGCACACAAACAUCUGUUUGUCUCUGAGAGAGAGCAGUUUAAAAUAGCCAUAAGAUUUGACCACAACUGUGAGGAGCACAUGCCAGGCCACACCAUAUGUUUUCCUAUUGUUAGUGCCUGCACCAACACAGUUACACUCCCUACAGCACAUUUGGGGAAUUAUGAGUCCUUUAAGAGUAAUGUGCUGACUGCCAUGAAAUUUGGGGCCAGCUUUGACAGGGUGUAAUUUCUGGAAGGCCUGUUUAUUUUGUUGAAAAAUGUUGGUAGUUUUUACCAAAGUUGAUUUUGAAUGAUCAUUGUUAUGAAUACCUUUUCACCAUGGCAAUUGCCAGAUUAAAAUGUGUUGUAUAUACUGCACCGUACAAGUAUUUUAGGCAGGUGUAAAGUUUGCCAAGAAUUGUGCAGGUGUUAAGGCAAAUUAGGUGCCUUGUUUUCAGACAGGGUUAUUAGUUUUAAAAUCAUACUAACUGUAAAUCCCAGCAAAUUCAAAUAAAAGUCAAACUAUUUCAUGUGAAUCACAUGCAAAUUUAUUCUGGUCUGUUUCAAAAAAUGGUAUGCCACUUUGAUCCAGCCUGCUUCUUUCAUGACUGUCCACUAGAUUUUAGAAACCACUGGCAACAUUGAGAGCCUGCAAGUACCGUAUUUUCACGACUAUAAGGCGCACAUAAAAGUCUUAGAUUUUCUUCAAAUUGUGCGGCGCGCCCUAUGGUGCAGUGCGUCCUGUGUGUGUUGUUGUUGUAAGGCGGACGUAGACCAGGUGGUUUUUUCCACGCAUCACCAUCGCUGUUGAUCUGUGACUCUAUGCGUGCCCAUCUCACAGCCGAUGUGAAAAAACAAGUGAAGCAAAUGAACUCUGAGCUUGCUGUCAUUCCGGGAGGCCUGACAAAGGAACUCCAACCGCUGGACAUCGGUGUGAACCGGCCGUUCAAAGUAAGGCUGCGAGCGGCGUGGGAGCGAUGGAUGACCGAUGGAGACCACAGUUUCACUAAGAGUGGAAGGCAGCGCCGGGCGAGUUACGCCACAAUUUGCGAAUGGAUUGUAAAUGCUUGGGCUAACGUGUCUGCUGGCACUGUUGUUCGAGCUUUCGCAAAAGCCGGCAUCAUUUCCGAGGCGCCGCACGGCACGGAAAGUGACUCUGACAGUGAAGAAAGUGAACCUGGCAUGUUUGAUGGAGGUUUAGCGCAGCUGUUCAAUUCAGAAACAGAGGAUGAGGACUUCCAUGGGUUUGAUUGAUGACGAUUACCGGUAAAAAAAAAAAAAGUGAAUACCAAACUCAGUUUUGCUCCGGCUCUAUUUUUAAAUACGCACACUUG